UACGAAGGGGGCUAGCGUUGCUCGGAAUCACUGGGCGUAAAGCGCACGUAGGCGGCUUUUUAAGUCAGGUGUGAAAGCCCCGGGCUCAACCUGGGAACUGCAAUGGAAACUGGCGGGCUUGAGUGUGGCAGAGGGGGGACUGGAAUUCCUGGUGUAGCGGUGAAAUGCGCAGAUAUCAGGAGGAACACCGGUGGCGAAGGCGGGUCUCUGGGCCGAUACUGACGCUGAGGAGCGAAAGCGUGGGGAGCGAACAGG
rnacentral:rRNA from 1 species